AUUGAACGCUGGCGGCAUGCCUUACACAUGCAAGUCGAACGGUAACAGGUUAAGCUGACGAGUGGCGAACGGGUGAGUAAUAUAUCGGAACGUGCCCCGCCGUGGGGGAUAACUGCUCGAAAGAGCAGCUAAUACCGCAUACGACCUGAGGGUGAAAGCGGGGGAUCGCAAGACCUCGCGCGAUUGGAGCGGCCGAUAUCAGAUUAGGUAGUUGGUGGGGUAAAGGCCCACCAAGCCAACGAUCUGUAGCUGGUCUGAGAGGACGACCAGCCACACUGGGACUGAGACACGGCCCAGACUCCUACGGGAGGCAGCAGUGGGGAAUUUUGGACAAUGGGCGCAAGCCUGAUCCAGCCAUGCCGCGUGCGGGAAGAAGGCCUUCGGGUUGUAAACCGCUUUUGUCAGGGAAGAAAAGGUUCUGGUUAAUACCUGGGACUCAUGACGGUACCUGAAGAAUAAGCACCGGCUAACUACGUGCCAGCCGCCGCAGUAA
rnacentral:rRNA from 1 species